GAUGAACGCUGGCGGCGUGCCUAAUACAUGCAAGUCGAGCGAACAGACGAGGAGCUUGCUCCUCUGACGUUAGCGGCGGACGGGUGAGUAACACGUGGAUAACCUACCUAUAAGACUGGGAUAACCUCGGGAAACCGGAGCUAACACCGGAUAAUAUAUUGAACCGCAUGGUUCAAUAGUGAAAGACGGUUUUGCUGUCACGUAUAGAUGGAUCCGCGCCGCAUUAGCUAGUUGGUAAGGUAAAGGCCUACCAAGGCAACGAUGCGUAGCCGAGCUGAGAGAGUGAUAGGCCACCCGGGAACUGGGACACGGUCCAGGCUCCUACGGGAGGCAGCAGUAGGGAAUCUUCCGCAAUGGGCGAGAGCUUGACGGAGCAGCGCCGCGUGAGUGAUGAAGGUCUUCGGAUCGUAAAACUCUGUUAUUAGGGAAGAACAACUGUGUAAGUAACUAUGCACGUCUUGACGGUACCUAGUCAGAAAGCCACGGCUAACUACGUG
rnacentral:rRNA from 1 species